CAUGUCUAUAUGGUUGUUAUAUAAAGUCUAGCCUGCCCACUGAUUUAGUUUAAAGGGCCGCGGUAUAUUGACCGUGCGAAGGUAGCAUAAUCAUUAGUCUUUUAAUUGAAGGCUUGUAUGAAUGGUUGGACAAAAAGUAAGCUGUCUCAAUUAUAAUAAUUGAAUUUAACUUUUAAGUGAAAAGGCUUAAAUAAAUUAAGGGGACGAUAAGACCCUAUAAAGCUUGACAAUAAUUUAAUUAUACUAUCAAUUGUUAGUAUAACUUGGUUUUAAUUAAUAUUUGUUGCGUUGGGGCGACGAGAAUAUAAUAGGUAACUGUUCUUAAAUAUUUAAUAACAAAUAUAAUUGGAAAUUAGUAUGAUCCUCUAUUAGCGAUUAAAAGAUUAAGUUACUUUAGGGAUAACAGCGUAAUCUUCUUUGAGAGUCCCUAUCGACAAGAAGGUUUGCGACCUCGAUGUUGAAUUAAGGUAUCCUUAUGAUGCAG
rnacentral:rRNA from 1 species